CUCGGGAUCGUCUAGUUGGUUUAUGACGUCAGAUUGUAAUUGCAGCCAGCCAUCUGGAUGUCGGGAGUUCGAAUCUCCCUCCUGAGA